UGGGAACUGCUGAGUCACAACCUGAACCUCUGAUUGAUCACCUGAGGCAAACAAUGAGUCUGCCAGAGGAGCACAGGUGAAGGCAAUUUACCUGUGCUGCAGAAGGGGAGGAGCCUGGCUCCACCUCUCUUAGACCCAUUUAAGAGCUGACUACCACUGAGGAAGGAUCUCUUCUGGAGAUCUGCCUCUGUUGGAGCUUCAUAUGUGAGCCCAGGAUACAGGCACUUCUCAUAUGAAAUUCAGGGAAGUAUAAUGAGCACUAUUUAUAAGGGCAGAAUUACAAGAUUAUUGCAAUAUAUGCAGUUUGAACUCUACAGCUUGAAGUUCCAUUGACUGGCUCAUGCUUUCAUCUGAAUCUUUCCAAGCUGCUUUCCCUGGAAGAUACAAAUGCGAAAGUGAAAAAGAAUGUGAAUUUUUUUUUUUUUUUUUUUAAGCUUCAAAAUACUAUUAUUGAUCCACAUGU